UACAAUGUCUGCAUUUGUCUAGUAAAUGUGAAUAGAGCAACCAACUAGACUUACUAUUUCACCAAAAGAAUAAAAAACCCAACCAGACUUGUUUAAAGUGACACUACUUGAUUGAGGUACAAGUAAAUCCGAGAAUAAUCCAGUUAUGACACUACUUUAUAGAAUCUACUAGGAUGACUCAUAUCUGUGACAAUAACAACAAUCCCCAAAAUACAAUAAACGAAACAAGUCCUACAAGUACACUAAAAGUCUGGAAUUCACAUGCAAAAACGACAUUACACUAGUUAAGAGCUAUGCUGUCAGGGGCGGAGCGGAGCGCCAGGCGUUCGGUUUCUGCCUCACCGCCUCGACCGCCUAGGCGCCGCCCAGGCGGCGCCCUGAUCAGACCCCUGACAGCAUGUCAGCAUCACAGCAAUACAGACCCCUGACAGCGGAGAAGAGAGAAGAGAGAAGAGAGAAGAAGAGAGAAGAGAGAAUAGAGAAGAGAGGCAGCAGCGGAGAAGAGAGGCAGCAGCGGAGAAGAGAGAAGAAGCAGCAGCAGCAGCGGAGAAGAGAGAAGAGAGAAGAGAGAAGAAGCAGCAGCGGACAUGGGCUUUUUUUAAGUUUUUAUUUUGGGGCCCAAAAUUUGGGCUGCUUGAGCGCCUGUAUUUUGACCGCCCUGAGCAGAGCGCUGCGCCUGGGCGCCGCCCAGGCUGUUCGAAGCGUUUUAGGCGCUAUUUUACCUGAGCGAAGCGACCCCUUUCUGAAAUAGCGCCUAGGCGGCGCCUAGCGCCGCCUAGGCGCCGCCCCUGACAGCAUAGGUUAAGAGUGCUAAUAAACUGUAGUAAGAAACAACUUCAUU
rnacentral:lncRNA from 1 species